rnacentral:rRNA from 1 species
GAUGAACGCUGGCGGCGUGCCUAAUACAUGCAAGUCGAGCGAACAGACGAGGAGCUUGCUCCUCUGACGUUAGCGGCGGACGGGUGAGUAACACGUGGAUAACCUACCUAUAAGACUGGGAUAACUUCGGGAAACCGGAGCUAAUACCGGAUAAUAUAUUGAACCGCAUGGUUCAAUAGUGAAAGACGGUUUUGCUGUCACUUAUAGAUGGAUCCGCGCCGCAUUAGCUAGUUGGUAAGGUAACGGCUUACCAAGGCAACGAUGCGUAGCCGACCUGAGAGGGUGGUCGGCCACACUAGAACUUAGACACGGUCCAGACUCCUACGGGAGGCAGCAGUAGGGAAUCUUCCGCAAUGGGCGAGAGCUUGACGGAGCAACGCCGCGUGAGUGAUGAAGGUCUUCGGAUCGUAAAACUCUGUUAUUAGGGAAGAACAAAUGUGUAAGUAACUAUGCACGUCUUGACGGUACCUAAUCAGAAAGCCACGGCUAACUACGUG